UAGUAGCGGCGAGCGAACGGGGACCAGCCGAGCCAGAUAAGUGACUAGAACAUGUUGGGAAGCAUGGCCAUAGCGGGUGACAGCCCCGUAUAGGAAGCUUUGAUGGACGUAUUAAGUAGGGCGGAACACGUGAAAUUCUGUCUGAAGAUCGGAGGACCACCUUCGAAGGCUAAGUACUCCUUACUGACCGAUAGCGAACCAGUACCGUGAGGGAAAGGUGAAAAGCACCCCGACGA
rnacentral:rRNA from 1 species